GACGAACGCUGGCGGCGUGCCUAAUACAUGCAAGUCGAACGAACCGCGACUAGGUGCUUGCACUUGGUCAAGGUGAGUGGCGAACGGGUGAGUAACACGUGGGUAACCUACCUCAUAGUGGGGGAUAACAGUCGGAAACGACUGCUAAUACCGCAUAGGACAUAGGAUCACAUGAUCCAGUGAGGAAAGGUGGCGCAUGCUAUCGCUAAGAGAUGGACCCGCGGUGCAUUAGCUAGUUGGUAGGGUAAAGGCCUACCAAGGCGAUGAUGCAUAGCCGACCUGAGAGGGUGAUCGGCCACAUUGGGACUGAGACACGGCCCAAACUCCUACGGGAGGCAGCAGUAGGGAAUCUUCCGCAAUGGACGCAAGUCUGACGGAGCAACGCCGCGUGAGUGAAGAAGGUCUUCGGAUCGUAAAGCUCUGUUGUUAGAGAAGAACAGCGCAUAGAGUAACUGUUAUGCGUGCGACGGUAUCUAACCAGAAAGCCACGGCUAACUACGUG
rnacentral:rRNA from 1 species